CACGUAGGCACCAAGCGUUGUCCGGAUUUAUUGGGCGUAAAGAGCUCGUAGGCGGUCUGUUGCGUCGGCUGUGAAAACCCGGGGCUCAACCCCGGGCCUGCAGCCGAUACGGGGCAGACUAGAGUUCGGCAGGGGAGACUGGAAUUCCUGGUGUAGCGGUGAAAAUGCGCAGAUAUCAGGAGGAACACCGUGUGAAAGGCGGCUCUGGGGCCG
rnacentral:rRNA from 1 species